rnacentral:rRNA from 1 species
AUUGAAUGCUGGCGGCAGGCCUAACACAUGCAAGUCGAGCGGUAGAGAGGUGCUUGCACCUCUUGAGAGCGGCGGACGGGUGAGUAAUGCCUAGGAAUCUGCCUGGUAGUGGGGGAUAACGCUCGGAAACGGACGCUAAUACCGGCAUACGUCCUACGGGAGAAAGCAGGGGGACCUUCGGGCCUUGCGCUAUCAGAUGA